UAGUCCACGCCGUAAACGAUGUUCACUCGCUGUCUGCGAUACACAGUAGGCGGCCGAGCGAAAGCAUUAAGUGAACCACCUGGGGAGUACGAUCGCAAGGUUGAAACUCAAAGGAAUUGACGGGGGCCCGCACAAGCGGAGGAACAUGUGGUUUAAUUCGAUGAUACGCGAGGAACCUUACCUGGGCUUAAAUGUAGGUUGCAUAAGGUGGAAACACUUUUUCCCUCCGGGGCUACCUACAAGGUGCUGCAUGGUUGUCGUCAGCUCGUGCCGUGAGGUGUCGGGUUAAGUCCCAUAACGAGCGCAACCCUUACCGUUAGUUGCCAUCAGGUAAUGCUGGGGACUCUAGCGGGACUGCCACCGUAAGGUGAGAGGAAGUGGGGAUGACGUCAAAUCAGCACGGCCCUUAUGUCCAGGGGCUACACACGUGUUACAAUGGCCGGUACAAAGGGGCAGCUACCUGGGUAACAGGGGU
rnacentral:rRNA from 1 species